CAGGAGCACAGCAGGAGCACAAACCUCACAUUUUUUUGCUGAUGUGGAGUUAUUCAGUUGCACUUCCUGGUCCCAUGGUACCUCAUGGCCAAAGCCACAAGGAAACCCCAGACUAACCUGAUGAACUUUUCCAAAUACUCGUCUAUGUUUGCAUUUCCCCUUCCUGAGAACAGUGAUAUAAAAAUCAUACGAAGCCCUCUAACCUCAAGAGAGCAAAGCCCCAAACAGCAAGUAACUCAUGUGGCUUCUAAUGUAAUGAAGACGUCUGAAUCCUUUGGGGAAGAAUUUCAACAGCUUAGCUCUUACAGCAGUGCAGAUUACUAGGGUGAAAGAUACUGUACAAAACCACAGAAGAUCUGGUUUCCAAUCCCACAGCACCCUGGCUUCUCCUCUGUGAUUUCACACAGUGGGUAGGUGUUCACUACUAUUUCCCUUCUCCAGUAGAGGACAUUCAGAGGACUGUCAUACCAAUGAGCGAGAAGACAUCAGAAACUACAUGGAGGAGAUCUCCAACCUUCUGCACAGGUGAGGCAGGGAACUUCAUUGUGAUGUGCUUAUUCAACUCACAGCCAGGUUUUCUCCCUUAUAACAGGCAACAGUUGAUACCUGAAGAACAAACUCAAGCAUGAGCAAUUUUGUUUCUGCAGGAUGCCCUUCCUGAGGCCAGAUCCAGCCCCAGCACCCCAUCCCAAAUUUGCUAUGGGCUCCCUGCAUCAGCCUGGGAAGAACAGUCAAGCUUUCUGUGCCUCAGUGCUCAUCUCCAGUGCCAGCACAACAGCAUACCCUCUCAUCCACCCUCUGGCCAGCGCAACAGCUUUGGAGGAACAAGCAGGAGCAGCUCCAUGCCAGUUCACUGUGUGGUUGCACCCUUUGCCUGCAUUUGCUUUCUCCAAGCAAACACCUGCCCAGGACUUGAGUACAAUAAGCCCAAACAGAGGGAGGGCAGGCUGGGUGCUGAGUCUCUGCUCAGUGCCAGUGAGCCCAGCUGCUGGCUGCGGAGGAGGCUGGCACAAGGCAGCUGGCAGCAGAGAAUUGCACAAGCUGGGAGCGUCGGAACAAAAUGAAGCGUAGAUGAGCACAAAAUUGCUUAAAAGAUCGGGUCAUGCCUGGGGCCACGACCCUGGAGAACUGAGGGGGAAAGCAGACAGGACAAAGCCAGGACAAAGCACCCUACAGCUGGACCAGCCAUCUCCUGGGCCCACGGCCUCACUGGGGACAUGGCCAUGCUGGGAACAGCUGUGGGGCAGAGGCACAGGGCUUCUUCCUUAGAUUAGCAAGUGAUUCAAAGGCCACGCAGCUGUCAUAUUAUCCAUCCCAUUCCGAUUUUAAUUUUAGCAGCCUCACAUACCUUCUGGGCUACUUACAAGGUUAGGAAUGGGGGGAUUUCCAAGUGAAAGCCACGGGCAGCCUGCCUGGUACAGAGUUCAUUCUGGAGAUGGCACAGCUACCUGGAUAUCAGCAAGUGGAAGAUACAUAUCACUGCAAGGUUCCUGCAAGUCAUCUCUCUGAGGUUGGUGUUGCUGUCUCUGAAGGUAAAGGUGAAGUAACAUGACUUUCAGUGAAAUGACAAAGCACAAAGAUUUACUGCAGGAAUUCAGUCAGUGACAAAGUAAUGAGAUAGGGAGCAAACUGCCUGGAGGACUGUUGGUCUGCAACUGGAUAAACUACUCCUCAUAAUGUGCCCAACUUGUGCAUGGGCAACAAGGUGGGCUUGAGGUUUUCUGCAGUGCCUAACAACGUAGGAGAUUCAACGUCAGUUUGUGGGGAUGUUUGAUAAAGAUGCGAAUGAAAGGCAUGUCAGGAAUAGAACGAGGUAAAAGUUAGCUUUGUCAGUGUUGUGGCCAGAAGGAAACUCAGGUAAACACAGUUUACCCAUUUCUAAUUCAGACGCUUCCUUCCCUCGCAUAUGAGGAAGCAACCAGAUGAGUGAUUUUACCCACCUCCUUCCUUACCAGCUCCCAUCAAGCCACGCUGUAUUAUAUUUAGUUGAACAGUCAACAGAAGCAAUGACCUUUAAAGCACUAUGCAAUCCUUUGUAACCCCUCUGUUAAAUAAAAAGGCCCUCUAUCCUAAAGACAGGCAGCUGGAGACACCAAGGCUGUGUCUAUACCAGUGCAUCAGACACGCCCAGGUUUGUCCUCUGGCACUGAGUCUGACCAGCAUGGGAUAUUCCACAUCCAGACUAUUCAACUUUCUUUUCUGCCAAACCAAGGCAGUUUCAUCUCUAAUGCCCACCAAGAAUGGUCUCCAGACCCUUCUGGCUUCCAAGCCAUGCCUGGGAAACAUCAGAAUGACCACAGACAUGCUUCAGACAUCCUAACAAUUUAAGAGUAUGAAUGACUCAGUCUUAAUGUCUGGGAAUGUCCCCUGGCACCAUGUAAUCGGGUAGCAGAGAAGUAGCUUGAGGUGCUGAAGCCCUGCAGCUCCAUCUAAACCAGAGGGCAGUCUGGCAGCCACAACAAGCAGCCCUUCAUGGUUUGAGAUGAGCACUAGCACCCACAUUACCCAUACAAAGCAGCUUCCUAAGGCCUCUUUGUUGUGACUGAGUCACUCAUGUCACAGAAGAUGUGUCAAUAUCACCACCCCAGAGCAGGUCUUGGGUGCCUUGCCUCUUCUACUAGAGAGCGACAUGCGAGUUCAGCAUCCUUUCUCUCUUAGCCAUUGCACCCUCAUUCCCCAUGCAAAGGACUAACUCAGGCCACCACUUGGGGAAAGCAUAGAUGUAGCUGCAGAGGAGCUAGGAAGCAUCCUCUUAAGAGCCCUCUCCUUUUGCCCCCACUUUCUGGACAGUCUCCUUCCAUGGGUAUGUCACGGAACCGACAAUGAGCUUCAUUACACAAAUGACAGCAUGCACCUUGUUAAUUAACGACAGCCACGGAGCUGAACACAUGCCAUGCAUUUUUAACAUCGCUUAGUGAACAGUGGUGAUGAAACGUGAUAUAGAAAGCCAAAUGUUUAUGACGCCCAGAUAGGUUUGAGUGCCUCUGGCAGACAAGGGAGAGGGUGAGCUUCAUUUCUUUGCCAUCACAAUAAGCCAGCGGUCCAACUAGAAUCGUAUCUGCAAGAUCUCGGAACUGAGCAGGAUGUCCUGUACAUAAAUCAAAUCCCAGCAGACCUCUCCCUCGACAGACUUUUCCCUUCCUGGACUGGGCUUUCUGGAAACUUAACAUUUAAAAUUCUAAUCCUGCAACCGUUUAUACACAUAUUUUCCUACCUACGGGGCCUAUUAUUAAAGUCGAAUCUAUGCAUGAAUGUUGGCAAUAAACGGGUCCAAGCUUAGGAAGAGAUUCUGUAACGUUUCUUUUCACCAACCUACCAAUUUCUAAACAAGUAUCUGUAUUUUUCCACAUGACCUCAUCACUCUGGGGCAAAAAGAGAAGUGCAUACACCCACCAAGUGACAUUAUAAUCAGUUGUCCGAGCAGCCUUGCCCUAUCCAAGAUUUGGGAUGUGCCCCACAGAGUACUUCAGAUAUUGCUCAAGUCUGUUGCACUUCCCUCCCUAUUAUUUAAGCAAUAAUAGUUGAUGGGGAGGGUAUUUCCUGAGAGCCAUCUGGAGAAAAUGAGAUUUCUGCCAUAGGCCCAUAAUUCAGCCAGGGAUACACCACCAGGAAGCAAGUCCCCACCCUGUCCCCCUACACUUGAGCCAUGGCUGCGGAAAGCAAGCCAGCACAGGGUUGCUUGGUUUGGGAUUUUCAGCUGUAAGACACACUUCAAAGACACCAGCUUUUUCCCCAGGGAGCUUUCUAAGGCUUCCAGUGUGACUGCUGAUUUGGGAGAUACAGAAGGCUGCUCCGCUUCCAAAAGAAACUAUGGGAUGCCGGGGUGGAAAGGGGUGGAUAUACAGUAGCGCAAUAGACAAUAACAGUAAUCACAUAUUGAUUGCUUCUGUGUAUCAUGCAUCGAUUGCUGGGGCCUUCCAGGGCUGCAGAGGAAGGUUUCACAAGCAGCAGGGGGAUGCACUUUGCAUUUGAGAGGUCUCCGCUUUAUAGAGGAACAAAUCUACAGAUCCAGCUACGCGCUCAGAGCAACUGUAGUGGCACAGAGCAGCUAGUUAAGCUGGGUCUCGGGGCUAUAUUGAAUUCCCGGAAAGCUGUGCAGCAAUCAGAGCACACAGGGGACUCUGGCCACUAUUAUUUUAUGCCAGCGUUUCCCUGACUAAUGUGCUCACUGCUUUUCAUAGAACCUUUUCUUGCUUAAAAUCAGUAAGACGGCAAGAUGUGCUCUUCUCAGCUGUUACAUAAAUGCAUAGAAGCACACAUACAUAGAUAUAUAAACUGCAUACAUAGGUAUAUAGUUCAUUUCUUUCCUAACAGAGAAAUACAAGAAGAGCCUAGGGAUUUUAAAAAAUAUUGAUUCAAACGUGGAAAAACUCCAUUUCUGGAUAUGACACGGAGAGAUUUGUAGCUUCACUAAUGAGAACUGUGAGAAGAAAAUAUGUUCUCAGUUCUGUACCUGCUUGACUACAAAGACACGAUGGUGCCAGCAGCCUGGGGAUCUCACUGUCACAGCACAGCACUGUGUCCACAGGCUGGGUCAGAUUGAUGUGGAGUAUUUGGAGCCACAGGGUAUUCUCUAGAAUUACUUGUUGCUGCUUCAAAUUAGCACACUUCUCACUUUAAUGGAGAGCUGUUGCCAUCAGCUGAGGUUUGAGCUGCAAAGGCUCCUGUGGGCAUAGCGACACCAGGACUAACAGGCUCUGGUUUCACAACACAAAACCACCAGUAGCAAUACUGGCUCAGGCAAUUAACACAAUCCUUCCUUCUCGUCCUCUGUGUCAUUCCCUUGCACUACAUAGCACCACAGUCUGAAGGGCUAAGUUUUGAACUGGCUUAGACAAUGGAUUCAGCAGAUAAGUAAAUUAGGAAAGACAAAACACCUUUGGGUUGACCCAGCUGAGGUGUCCAACCUGCCUGACAGCAUUGGCCAAAAGUAGAUGGGCAGCACAAUGGAGGGAAAGCGAGCCCCAACACAAAGCAGAGAUUGAGAGCUGAGGGCAUCAAGAGCUGAAGACACAGCAGUGUGAAUGCCCAGCCUUGCUGAGCUACCCUAGAUGUCCAGGCACAGAGCAACUCUAUAUGCUGCUUCUGCUGCCUGCCCUUCCAGCCCACAACCACUUGCAUUUCAGGGAUUUCCUGAGCCAGUUGUGAGCUCUACAACUCUUCUUGUGAUGCUUAGUGGAUUUUUCACCACAAACUUGUUCAACUUCCUCCUAGAUCUAUAUGAGCUUGCUUGGCAUCAACAAUACCAAAAGGGAGAGAGCUGCUCCACUGUGAGAGCAUGGGAUGGGGCCAGCCAGCCAUGGGAUGGAGGAGGACCAGAGCCAGGGAGUGUGUGCCUCCUGGCAAUAUCCCAUAGACCGUGGGUCAGGCUGGUCCCUUGCACCAGGCAUAAUGGUAGGAGGGAGCUAUGAGGCAGGAGGGAAACCACAGUGUCAUCUCCCACCAAAACAUAGGCCAAGGAGAGCAUGGCGAAGGCCGGGGGAACAACUCAUGCUCCAGAACACAGAUGAGAGUAAACAAGAAGCUGAGGAAGAAGUGUUUGCCAUCCUCCUAGAGAAAUGUACCUAUUCCCAGGAUCUUCAGCAUUUAUCUCGAGCUCACUGGGUGGUAUUCAUGGCUGGGGAGGAGAUUCUGGAUUAAGGGUUGUCAUUUUGUCUGAUACAGCUACUGCUCUAUUUGCACUAAAGUGGAAAUGACCUGUCUGUAGAAGAUGCCAUUCUUGCUGUUUCUUUAGUGCUGAUUGAAUGCCUGGAUUACCAGUGACAUGACUUACAGCAGUGUGUUGUGUUGUAGGCUCCCAGAAGGCUCCCAACAUCUUGCACCUGCCACUCAGACACAAAUCCUGGCACUUCACAUUUCCACUGGACCAAAGACAUCAAAUCCUCCCACAUGAUGAAACUGCCAGCAUUUCUAUAUUCACUUUGUUUUGUCUCUCUUUAUUUUAAACUGCAUCCACACUCUGGUGUGGCUGAAACUCUGGGUGUACAAAUCAAUUGAAAUUGAGUCACUGGGCUUGAUAGAAGCAAACAGACGUCAUCAUAAAGAGAGCAAAGCCCUGCUUCAAGCCCCUGCCACUCUGCUGAGUUACAAGAUCAAUAAGAGAAACACAUAAAAUUGUAAUUAAUUAAAUAACCAUUCAACAUUUCGCUAAUACCCAGAGAAACCCAGCCAAAAAGAAAAACUAGCUAACAGGCUAACAUUUACAUUGUAAAAUGUAAAUCCACAGUGUUAACUUUCUCCAGAAUGAAGAAGCAAAUAUUUUAAGCAAGCAAAAAAACGUACAUACUUUCAGCAAACGUCAUCUUCUUACACUGGGGAAAUUCUUGUCAUGCUUAACCCAAGUUUGACACAAUGUCUUGCAGUAGUUAUCCAUUAUUGAAGUUUAUCUGGGCUUGCUGAUAGCCUGGCAUUCCUGGAGCACAUAAAGGAUUGUGCAUUUAACCCCAUCUAACCUGGAUACCACUCUUAUUUAAUCCACUCGAUACUUGAGGAGGUCCAGCUUCCUGUAUGCUCAGCAUAAACCAAGAAACACUUGGGUGCUUUGAAUGACUUACCUGCGGCUCUGCUUAAUCUUUGGAGAGCUGGCAAAGCUAUCAACUCAGUCAGAUGCCUGAAAUGGGGUAGGGAGACUAUUUACUAAAGAUCCAUCUCAAAGGCUGAGGGCUCCUGAUGUUGUUCCAGCAGUGGCUACAGUGAGUGGCCUCUCCUCAUCACACCAUGUGCCAAAUGCCCUCCCACUGGGCAGAGUUUAUUAGGACACAGAAAGGCAGAGGCCUUACAGUCCUCUUGUCUCCACUCAUCCUGUUCUCCAUCCUAAUCCCUUGAGAAAUGAGUAUCUAUGUGUCUUGCUACUGAUUCUUACAGUCCAGUGGUAUUUUUGGCUAUGGGUUCAAGGUUUCCUCCAUAAGCAAAAUGCUGGCAGACUUGGAACUGAGUUUGAAGUGUAACUAUCGAUAGAACAGGCAAAUCAUAAAGCUUUCACCUGUUUCUGCCUCAGGUUACACUCAGUGGGCCUGUGGAUUUUCUACUGCUGUGGGUUAUCUACUGCUGUGGGUUUUAUACUGCUGUGGAAAAGGGAUAACUGCCCACUCAACACAAAUCCUUCUGUUGGGAAUAGUAGCUAAAAAGCAGUGUUUAUCCUAAGAGCAAACACAGCUAUAAGCACUCAGCUGCAGGACAAAAUGAAGGCUUCUGCCUUGAGCCCUGGCUUGCAGUCUAGGAGUUUAAAGGUAAGGGUGAAUGAGUCCAACAGAUGCAUGCAUAGCGAGCAAUGAGGAGAAGGGGAAUAGAGAAGACAAGCAACCAUGUUAUACUCUUCACUGCCGUCAGAUCCACAUUUUCUAGGCACAGAAUGUAAUUUUCAUGCUGGCUCCAGACAUAAGGAUAACUGCUCUUUAGGAGCUACUCUGUGUGUUAAACAAAUAUGACAUUUACACAUUGUUUUCUCACAGUAUUUACUUGAUAUGUCCUGAACUAAUGACCUUAAAAAUUGUUCUCUCUGAUGGCAUUAGUGUGAGACGAUUUCCAAAAAGCAUGAAAUUGCAAUAAACUGUCAAGUUUGCACAGGUGCAUUAGAGAUUAAGAGAUCAGCCACAAAGCCAUUAAGAUCUAUGGCAAAAUGCCCAGUGGGACCGAGAUCAAACUUUGGGCAUGUUUUUUAAAAAUGUCAUCAUCAGUGGAGAGAUUCCCUGCUUGGCAAUCCCAGGAGCUCAACACAAUGCUGGAUUUAACCAUACCCUUCUGCAGUACUCCCCAGAGAUGGCAGCUGCUGGAAUUUCUUGUUCAUCUCAAAACAGAUGAAACAAAUAUUAGUUCUGCUGGAGCAAAGAUGAGUGCUGCUGUACACCAGAUGUUCUGUACACUACACCAGCUUUUCCAGUUUUUGAAUUCUUCCUACCUUGCAAGAAGAGGCUUUAUCUUUUUACAGAUGCAAGAAGCCCAUUUCCACUCAUUGGACAAGGAUGUGUUUUUACGUACUACGAAAAAUUCUAAGGAGACAGCUGUUGUGAACGUGGGCCAUCAUAAGCUGGCUUUAUGAAUGUUAACUGUGUUCUUGGCAGCUACGUGAGUUUUGUUCUUACUCCCCCAGCUUUCUACAUGGAAGGACUCGUGCCUGGCAAGCUUUGCUAGCUGGCAAGGCCAAGGGCACGGAUCUACCGGCCCUCACAGAGAAAGCGGGGAAGGAAAUCAGUCAAGUGUUGAAAGUCUCCCACUGAUAUUUCCUUAAAAGGAUGGACAAGUUCCCUUUUGACUGCUGGGGAAAGAGCAUCUCAACCCAAAAAGACAUCAGAUGGCAUCCAAGCAUACAUGACCAAAUGCAGAGACACAGGUACUUCAGAAAUGCAGGCGGAGAUCUGCUUAGGAAUGCUCAUACAAGGGGCUGGCUCCGUGUACCUAGUAGACAAGGAGUAGAGCAUUUGCACCGCUGCCUACCUGAAAAAUAGUAUCAUUAACACCGAGGUUGUUUUGCAUCGAACUUCCAUUUCUGCCCUUUCGUACUGUUGCUUUUGCUCCAUAUCAUGAGUCUUACACCACGAAGGCAAAGAAAGAAAAAAAAAAGAAGUCUAAUCCAACUUUUUUUCAAACUUGCCUCAUUGCUUUUCCCAAGAAAAGUACUCGUAUCCUCAUAGAAAUCCAUACCCUGUAUCAUACUGCUAGGCACACACUUUCAGUUAGUUCUUUGAAUAUUUCUGUAAGAUAGAAAAGCCAGGAGGGAUGAGGGAAAUGACUGGAUCUGAGGGAAUGCAUGCAUAGCGAGCUGAGUCACCCAUGAAUCCAGCCAGCUGCCCGCAGACAGCUCCUCUGCUGCUCAGUUACAAAUUAGUUCUGGCCUUAUGAAGAAAAUCUGUUAAACAAUACAUAAACGCUGCUAAUUCAGUAACAUUUCAUUGGUACUGAUCUCUUCCUCCUCCCAUAGUUGCACAGACACCCAAAGCCCUGAUAUCAGUAGCAUUAUCUGCACGAUAGUGAAGGUGCUUUCUGCAUGCCUUUUGCAGUAGUUCCCAUCAGACAAGCAUCAGGUCUAGUGCUGCUGACAACAGAUAGGUUCUGGAGGCUACAGCAGUUUCCAGUCUUUUCUCAAUACAAAGGCCUGUAUGCUUUCUUAGUGCUUAAUCCCUGGAAGGGCAGAGAGGACAGAACAGAGGAAUGUGCCUGUUUUUGUGGGAAGAAGUGAAAAGGGUAAAGUGUGAAAAAAGAUUCCCAUCUUCAGUCACAGACACCCAGGAGAUCUUUUGUCCUGUCCUUGUUGCAUCUAAGGCCAUUCUGAUUUCAAGGAUAAUGACAUUUUCAGAGUAAAACAAACAAACAGACAAGCAAGCCAUCCCCUGCAAGGUAGAGGAAGAAAGGGAAUCACAGAGAGUCCUUACGGAGGGUCAGGGCAAGCAGAAAGUCAUGGCACCUACCUGCCCGCCUCCCUUCCUCUCUGCAGGAUAUGGCCAUGCAGCAGACAGAGGACAUCAGCCCAGCCUAGGCAGCUCCUGGCGACAUCCUGCAGCACUCCAGGCACUGCUGCUGCUGUUUUCCUCUCAGUUCUGCUGUAUCCUCUGCAGCAGUCCAGGGCUCAUUGCAGAUGCAGAGAAGCAGAAGUACCAGUCAGCUUGGUUAAGGCAGGAUUCGCAACCCCACGGGGAC
ensembl:lncRNA